UACGUAGGGUGCGAGCGUUAAUCGGAAUUACUGGGCGUAAAGCGUGCGCAGGCGGUUCGUUAAGACAGAUGUGAAAUCCCCGGGCUUAACCUGGGAACUGCAUUUGUGACUGGCGAGCUAGAGUAUGGCAGAGGGGGGUAGAAUUCCACGUGUAGCAGUGAAAUGCGUAGAGAUGUGGAGGAAUACCGAUGGCGAAGGCAGCCCCCUGGGCCAAUACUGACGCUCAUGCACGAAAGCCAGGGGAGCAAACGGG
rnacentral:rRNA from 1 species